UCUUUCAUUUGGGUACAACAAUCUCUGACCAUUUUAAGAGUUAAAGUUAGAAAAUUGUAUUGGAGCAAAUAUAUAUCAUCAUGAAGCUACGAAGCAUUCUCCUUUCUGUGUGCGUUUUGUUUGCUAUCUUCAGCCACACUUAUGGGGAAAUCAGUUUUUGCCCCAAAAAGAUGACACUGGAUGGCCUAUGUCCACUUGGGAGUUUAGGACAAACCUGCUUUCAUGAAUUCCUUGCACGACUGGGAGCAAGUGCCAUGCCUAUGAACUGCACUUGUAAAGAUCAUCAUUUCAAGAAUAAGCGCACAUGCACUUGUGAUGUUGUUUGUGACGCGUGAGACAAUCUUGUGUAUGUGUAUAGAGUGCAAUCCAAAUAACGAGAAAAUAACAAAUGUGGACUGAUCUUAUAUUUUAUAUAUAUUGGAAAUUUUGAAAGGGAACACCCAAUGUUAAGUUA